rnacentral:rRNA from 1 species
CAGCGCCGUCCCAUGCCGCUGCCUCACCGUCGAAGGUCCCCAAUGCGAAGAAGAACAAGGCGGCGGACGGCUCCGACAACACGAAGGCGAGGGGAAAGAAGCUUGCAGGGCGUUCGACGGCCGCGGCUACCGAAGCGCCGGCGAGCUCACUCAUUGAGCCGGCCGCCGACGCGCACCACGUUCUCAACGAUGAUGCAUACAUGUCAACUAUGGGUGUUGGGUCCAAAAAUUCGCAUUGGUCUCAAACCAAUGACAUACAUUUCGAAGACCAUGAGUUUGAGGUGGACGAGGAGGGUGAGGGCAUUGUCGACGCGCCGAAAGGAAGAGCGGGCAAUUACAGCACCAACGAUGACAAGUUACUAUGCUAUACUUAUUCGCAAGUGUCGAGGAAUCCAUCCAUUGGAGAUUGUCAAAAGUGGGCGGCCGUACAAAAGGCAGUUGACAAGAUUAACCCAAGUGGCACAAAUGAGGAUGAUCGAUACAACAUUGCACAAAACUUGUUCAAAGAAGAGACGAGGACAACCAAGAAGGGGAAGAUCAAGAAAGGCAGGAUCUUUACCUUGCCUCAUUGCUAUGAAGUGUUAAAGGAUGAUGAGAAAUGGAAGAAGCGUGAUGGUUUGGAUGAUUUGCAUUUGAGCAAUAAACGCAAGCGAGCAAUUGAGUUGAAUGAUGAUGAUGAUGAGGAGGAUGCAUCAAGUGAUGACGGCAAGAGAAGCCCCACACCCAACUCGGUUUCAUACUCGAAGCCAAAACGACCGGAUGGGUGCAAGAAAGACAAAACCGAAAAGAAGAAGAGGAAAGAAGAUGAUGAGCUCAAAAAUGCUAUGGAAGCAAUUGCCAACGCAAGAAGAGAAGCCAACGAGGUGAGGAAAAUGGCAAGGAACCAAGAUGACGCGACCGAGGAGAGAAGGGUGGCGGCCGAGGAGAGGAAGGUGGCUUUGGAGGAGAGGAAGGUGAGCAAUGAGGAGCGAACUAGAUUGUUGGAAUGGGAGAAGCACUUGUUCUUCUUGGACACAUCCAACCUCAAUGAAGCGCAAAAGGAAUAUGUCAAUCUUGCCCGUGAAGAAAUGUUGAUCCAAAAAAGAGCCAUGAUCCGCAUGGGUGGCGGUGGCCUCGGCGGCAUGGGUGGCGGUGGCUUCGGCGGCAUGGGUGGCGGUGGCCUUGGCGCCAUGGGUGGCGGUGGCCUUGGCGCCAUGGGAGGCAUGGGUGGCUUCGGAGCCAUGGGAGGCAUGGGUGGCUUCGGAGCCAUGGGAGGCAUGGGUGCACCUCCGGCCGCCAUGGGAGGUAUGGUGCAUCUCCGGCUGCCAUGGGAGGCAUGGGUGGCUUUGGAGCACCCUCCGACGCUAUGGACGCCAUGGGAGGCAUGA